ensembl:lncRNA
GAAUGAAUACAUGAGCGAUAAAUUGUGGAGAAUUCAAACUUGAAUCUCACCAAAGGCAGAGUGUAUUUCUCUGCUCCACUGAUGAUACCUCACUUGGCCAUGUGACUUGCUUUGACCAAUGGGAUGUAUGUGAAUAUGAAGCAGGCAAAGGCUUGAAAUGUGGAGACUUGUGACGCAAACCUGAACCAGACCUGCAUCCUGGAGCCAAGCCCUGCCAAGUGCAGUCGUGACUAGGAGACCCACCGCUGCAGACAGGUGGGCAAGAUUUUUCCUUUGAGAUGGUUCAUCUAUAUGUUCUGCUGAGCUGGAAUGUCGAUGUUGAGUUCAUUGUCUCUGGAAUUUUUACUGCAUGUAGAUAGAACAUAGUUUUCUUUUACUUACCUUUUAUUAAAUUUGA